rnacentral:rRNA from 1 species
UACGUAGGGGGCUAGCGUUGUCCGGAAUCAUUGGGCGUAAAGCGCGUGUAGGCGGUCCGGUAAGUCCGCUGUGAAAGUCGGGGGGCUCAACCCUCGAAUGCCGGUGGAUACUGUCGGGCUAGAGUGCGGAAGAGGCGAGUGGAAUUCCUGGUGUAGCGGUGAAAUGCGUAGAUAUCAAGCGGAACACCGGUGGCGAAGGCGGCCUUCUGGACAGUGACUGACGCUGAGACGCGAAAGCGUGGGGAGCAAACAGG